UCAGGCGUCGGAUUUGAAGCAGUUUUCUGUGAAGGAUAAGGUUGGCCUCACGAGGAAGAGGGAGAAUACUGAGCAGUUGAAGCUGGAAAACUCAAAGAAACAGAAAUUGAAGGAGCCAAACCAAAAAAAUCAGGGAAGAUGUGGGGAAGACCAGCAGUGCUUGAAAGAAGAAAGUACAUUCUCCGUUUCGAAAGAAAAUCCAGGCCAGAGUAAUGUUAUCAUCAGGUUUGUACAGACCACCAAGCCAGUGAAGACGAAUAACCAUGAAAAGCCAUCCAAGAAAAAAG